CUUGUGGGGAACAUUUCCACUUGAAGAAACGUGGGCAAGUCAAUGUGCGCCAAAUCCACCCCUGCCUCUUUUUUUUUUUACUUCCAUUUGCAAAAACCACUUCCUCUUUCUCCCGCCCAGCUGCCACCUGCAGAAAGUAUAUGUGCUGUUCUACGUUCACACAUCAAGAAAUGUUUUUGUUUUCUUGUAAAACAUUGAAAUACAGC